rfam:Triticum aestivum genome assembly, contig: Triticum_aestivum_CS42_TGACv1_scaffold_327952_4BS
GAAAUACUCCCUCCGUCCCAAUUUUUUUUCUUAGAUUUGUCUAAAUACAAAUGUAUCAAGUCAUGUUUUGGUAUUAGCUAUAUCUGUAUCUAGACUAAUCUAAGACAAGAAUUUUGGGAUGGAGGGAGUAUAAA